UACGAAGGGGGCGAGCGUUGUUCGGAAUUACUGGGCGUAAAGGGCGCGUAGGCGGCGAACCAAGUCAGAUGUGAAAGUCCUGGGCUUAACCUGGGGACUGCAUUUGAUACUGGUUUGCUUGAAUUCGGGAGAGGAUAGCGGAAUUCCCAGUGUAGAGGUGAAAUUCGUAGAUAUUGGGAAGAACACCGGUGGCGAAGGCGCACUCUGGACCGACACUGACGCUGAGGCGCGAAAGCGUGGGGAGCAAACAGG
rnacentral:rRNA from 1 species